AAAAAACUGGCUGUGGCCAUUCACAGCUGUGUGUUGACACUGAGUGAUACAUGCUACAUGGAGUUUUUGGAUCGAAACAAGACUGGUGUAAGCCUUUCAAACAUAAACAAAAGAAAGUCAGUGUGACCGAUAAGGGAAAUUAGGAGUGAGAAGAUUAUGGUGAGAAGUGGGACAGACCAUUGGCAAGAUUAAUGAGCAGAGCUCUGAUGACCGCAGCGGAAUCAAACAGUGCCAAGUCACGACAGGACACCAGGGUCACAGGACGAGAUGGCUGACUUGAAAUGGAGACAGAGCCUUCCCUGGACCUUGACCCAGCUUUUCCAUGCCUGUACCUCUGCCACUUCGGAACCCUGACUUGAAACACCUGCUGUGGCAAGAAUCUACUGUUGCUGUUUCCUGACCACUGUCUGCGUGG